rnacentral:rRNA from 1 species
AACGCGAAGAACCUUACCUGGGCUUGAACCGCUACUGACCAAGGGUAGAAAUAUCCUCUUCCCGCAAGGGACAGUAGUAGAGGUGCUGCAUGGCUGUCGUCAGCUCGUGCCGUGAGGUGUUGGGUUAAGUCCCGCAACGAGCGCAACCCUUACUCGUAGUUGCUACCCGCAAGGGAGAACUCUACGAGGACUGCUCCGGAUAACGGAGAGGAAGGUGGGGAUGACGUCAAGUCAGCACGGCCUUUAUGUCCAGGGCUACACACGUGUUACAAUGCAUGGUACAGACUGUUGCGAACCCGCGAGGGGGAGCUAAUCGGCCAAAGCCAUGCUCAGUUCGGAUUGCAGUCUGCAACUCGACUGCAUGAAGCUGGAAUCGCUAGUAAUGGCGCAUCAGAUCGGCGCCGUGAAUACGUUCCCGGGCCUUGUA